rnacentral:misc_RNA from 1 species
AAAGUCGUAACAAGGUUUCCGUAGGUGAACCUGCGGAAGGAUCAUUAACACGUAUCCACGUAUCCACCCCUGUGAACUCACUCUCCCCAAUAUGAGAAUAGUUGUCAACACGGCUAGUGAUGGGUGCAUUGCCUAACAAGCAAUGCGCAGCCGGGUUGACUAAGGUUUCAUCCUAAGACUUUCUCUACGUUGGGCCUUCUCUCCAUCACUCCUUCUCACAAACACUUCUCACUCUAAACUUAUCUUGACUGAUAUACUUAUGUAAGAGAAAUCUGGCAUAAGCAAGUUAUUCAAACUAAGCACAACUCUUAGCAAUGGAUAUCUUGGUUCUC